AGCGAACGCUGGCGGCAGGCUUAACACAUGCAAGUCGAGCGGGCAUCCUUGUGGUGUCAGCGGCAGACGGGUGAGUAACGCGUGGGAACGUGCCCUUCGGUUCGGAAUAACUCAGGGAAACUUGAGCUAAUACCGGAUACGUGCGAGAGCAGAAAGGUUUAUCUGCCGAAGGAUCGGCCCGCGUCUGAUUAGCUAGUUGGUGAGGUUAUGGCUCACCAAGGCGACGAUCAGUAGCUGGUCUGAGAGGAUGAUCAGCCACACUGGGACUGAGACACGGCCCAGACUCCUACGGGAGGCAGCAGUGGGGAAUAUUGGACAAUGGGGGCAACCCUGAUCCAGCCAUGCCGCGUGAGUGAUGACGGCCUUAGGGUUGUAAAGCUCUUUUCUCCGGGACGAUAAUGACGGUACCGGAGGAAGAAGCCCCGGCUAACUUCGUG
rnacentral:rRNA from 1 species